rnacentral:rRNA from 1 species
UGGGGAAUUUUGGACAAUGGGCGAAAGCCUGAUCCAGCAAUGCCGCGUGUGUGAAGAAGGCCUUCGGGUUGUAAAGCACUUUUGUCCGGAAAGAAAUCCUUGGCUCUAAUACAGUCGGGGGAUGACGGUAUCGGAAGAAUAAGCACCGGCUAACUACGUGCCAGCAGCCGCGGUAAUACGUAGGGUGCAAGCGUUAAUCGGAAUUACUGGGCGUAAAGCGUGCGCAGGGCGGUUUGCUAAGACCGAUGUGAAAUCCCCGGGCUCAACCUGGGAACUGCAUUGGUGACUGGCAGGCUAGAGUAUGGCAGAGGGGGGUAGAAUUCCACGUGUAGCAGUGAAAUGCGUAGAGUGUGGAGGAAUACGAUGCGAAGGCAGCCCCCUGGGCCAAUACUGACGCUCAUGCACGAAAGCGUGGGGAGCAAACAGGAUUAGAUACCCUGGUAGU